AUUUAACACUAAUCACAAAGCAGCUGCCUAAAAUUUGAUUGCCAACCCAAAAAUUCAAAUGGCAAACACCAAACAUCAUUCCAAUAUAUUGAUAGAAAGCAUUUAUAAUGAUUAUACCAUGCAGCAGCAUCAAAACUCGAUUGCCAACUCAUAAAUCCAAGAGGUGAAAAGAAAAGAUCAAUCCCAAUCCCAGAGCCAAAUUCAAGCACCCAAACAUGGGAUAAAAAGCAUUAAUACUAAUCACCAAGCAGCAGCAUCAAAACUCGAUUGCCAACUCAUAAAUCCAAGAGGUGAAAAGAAAAGAUCAAUCCCAAUCCCAGAGCCAAGUUCAAGCACCCAAACAUGGGAUAAAAAGCAUUAAUACUAAUCACCAAGCAGCAGCAUAAAAUUUCCAUUGCCAACCAAUAAAUUCCAGUGGUGAAACCAAACAUCAAUCCAACUCCCACAGGCGAAUUCAAGCAUCCAAAUGUAGGUAAAAAAAUAGAAAUUACCUAU
rnacentral:lncRNA from 1 species